AAUUGCUUUGCUUAUUGCAUGCUAAUUGCUGAAAAUUGCUUUUUAUUUUAAAUUCCUUAGCUAAAAAUUGCUUUUUCUUUCACAUUUCUCUGCUUAUUGAAUGACUAUUGCUAACUCAUUAGAUAGAACCUACUUCUCAUAUAAGUAGGUGGAUGCGGCCUCGAUUAGCGGGGGAACCACAUGAAAAAAAGCGAGCUACUGGGUGUACCUCCUGGGUAGUUUGGAAAUCACCUAAUAUAUAUAUGUAUAUAUUUAUAAAUAAAAGUUAAUAUAUAUAAAUUAACAUUAUUUUUUUUUAACAGGAAAUGCACACUGCUAAAAACUGCGUAGGAGAUUUUAAUACAAUAGUACUACCAAGCCUGAUGUUGGCCGCUAUUUCAAUGAAUGCAGCAGUGUGACAGCUAGCAAUCAAAAGUAACAAGAUAUCGAGGAAAUGCAGAUGGCAAUAAACUGUGUAGGAGUUCAUGAUUGCAAUAGAAUAAAAUCGACCAAGCCUGAAGUCAGCAGCCCCUUCAAUGAAUGCAGCAGUGUGACAGCCAACAAUCAAAAGUUACAAAAUAUCGAGGAAAUGCAGAAGGCAAAAAACUGCGUAGGAGAUCAUUAAUACAAAAGUAUUAUAUAAACCAAACCUGAUGUUGCCAGCUCCUUCAAUGAAUGCAGCAGUGUGACAGCCAACAAUCAAAAGUAACAAGAUAUCGAGGAAAUGCAGAAGGCAAAAAACUGCGUAGGAGAUCAUUAAUACAAUAGUAUUAUAUAAACCAAGCCUGAUGUUGGCCGCUCAUUCAAAGAAUGCAGCAGUGUGACAGCCAGCAAUCAAAAGUAACAAGAUGUCGAGGAAAUGCAGAGUGUAAUAAACUGUGUAGGAGAUUAUGAUUGCAAUAGAAUAAAAUCGACCAAGCCUGAAGUCCUUCAAUGCACGCAGCAGUGUGACAGCCAGCAAUCAAAAGUUACAAAAUAUCGAAGAAAUACAGAAGGCAAAGAAGCAGAUGUCAUCAAAGAAGAUCUUUGUUCCUGCAAUGUUUCCGCAGACGAUACAUCCAACAGAGCGAAGUGGAAGGAAAAGACUCGGAAUAAAGACCCCACCACCAUAUGGGAACAAUGCAAGGGAGAGAGAGAGAGAAUAUAAUGUUAUAUUUUUAUUUUUUGAUAACAUAAAAUAAACCAACAAUAUCCUA